GCCUUCUUAGCUCAGUGGUAGAGCGCAUCACUAGUAAGUUGCGUAGGCUGUUUCGUCAUGUCACGUGACCGAAAUGAUGAGGUCAUCCGUUCGACUCGGGUAGGAGGCA